rnacentral:rRNA from 1 species
UACGUAGGUGGCAAGCGUUGUCCGGAGUUAUUGGGCGUAAAGCGCGCGCAGGCGGUGCGGUAAGUCUCUGGUGAAAGCGCUCGGCUUAACUGGGCGAGGGCCGGGGAGACUGCCACGCUGGAGGGGAGCAGAGGCGAGUGGAAUUUCGUGUGUAGGGGUGAAAUCCGCAAAUCUACGAAGGAAGGCCAAAAGCGAAGGCAGCUCUCUGGGUCCCUACCGACGCUGGGGUGCGAAAGCAUGGGGAGCGAACAGG